rnacentral:rRNA from 1 species
AGGCUCAGGAUGAACGCUGGCGCGUGCUUAACACAUGCAAGUCGAACGAGCCUUCGGGCUAGUGGCGGACGGGUGAGUAACGCGUGAGAAUCUGCCCUCAGGAGGGGGAUAACGGCUGGAAACGGCCGCUAAUACCCCAUAUGCCGCGAGGUGAAAUGAGAAAUCGCCUGAGGAUGAGCUCGCGUCUGAUUAGCUAGUUGGGGGGGUAAGAGCCUACCAAGGCAUCGAUCAGUAGCUGGUCUGAGAGGAUGAUCAGCCACACUGGGACUGAGACACGGCCCAGACUCCUACGGGAGGCAGCAGUGGGGAAUUCUCCGCAAUGGGCGCAAGCCUGACGGAGCAACGCCGCGUGAGGGAUGAAGGCCUCUGGGCUGUAAACCUCUUUUCUCAAGGAAGAAGAACUGACGGUACUUGAGGAAUAAGCCACGGCUAAUUCCGUGCCAGCAGCCGCGGUAAUACGGGAGUGGCAAGCGUUAUCCGGAAUUAUUGGGCGUAAAGCGUCCGCAGGCGGUCUUGAAAGUCUGUUGUUAAAGCGUGGAGCUCAACUCCAUUUCAGCAAUGGAAACUAGAAGACUAGAGUGUGGUAGGGGCAGAGGGAAUUCCCGGUGUAGCGGUGAAAUGCGUAGAUAUCGGGAAGAACACCAGUGGCGAAGGCGCUCUGCUGGGCCAUAACUGACGCUCAUGGACGAAAGCCAGGGGAGCGAAAGGGAUUAGAUACCCCUGUAGUCCUGGCCGUAAACGAUGAACACUAGGUGUCGGGGGAAUCGACCCCCUCGGUGUCGUAGCCAACGCGUUAAGUGUUCCGCCUGGGGAGUACGCACGCAAGUGUGAAACUCAAAGGAAUUGACGGGGGCCCGCACAAGCGGUGGAGUAUGUGGUUUAAUUCGAUGCAACGCGAAGAACCUUACCAGGGUUUGACAUCCUGCGAAUCUUUUGGAAACAGAAGAGUGCCUUCGGGAGCGCAGAGACAGGUGGUGCAUGGCUGUCGUCAGCUCGUGUCGUGAGAUGUUGGGUUAAGUCCCGCAACGAGCGCAACCCACGUCUUUAGUUGCCAGCAUUGAGUUGGGCACUCUAGAGAGACCGCCGGUGAUAAACCGGAGGAAGGUGUGGAUGACGUCAAGUCAUCAGGCCCCUUACAUCCUGGGCUACACACGUACUACAAUGCUACGGACAGAGGGCAGCAAACUCGCGAGAGCUAGCAAAUCCCAUAAACCGUGGCUCAGUUCAGAUCGUAGGCUGCAACUCGCCUACGUGAAGGAGGAAUCGCUAGUAAUCGCAGGUCAGCAUACUGCGGUGAAUACGUUCCCGGGCCUUGUAC